CACUCCGACCAGGAAACUGCGAUCCAGAUCAAGCUUGGCCAUCACGAGCUCUGGCCCCGUUCUUCCUGCUGUCUGCAUGAUUUGCAAGAAAGACAGCAAAUUUAUCGUCGCGAGUGGCAGACGUCAAAAAGAACGAAAACACAGACUUUAACCGCAGGCAAGUUGCAGGAAGCAGCUGAAGUAAAGGAAGACCAGAGCAUCCUCAUUCACAUCAAGGACAGAGACUGUGUGGCUCUGGAGACAGGAUAUAUUGAAGAAGAGGCUCAGUCGUGAUUUUCCUCAGCUAGUGUUCCACACCCCCGCCAAACGCAACACAUCUGAACUGGUUUUUGCUGAGAACUUGUCGACGAAUGCAGUCUUGGACUUGUUACCAUCAGCGAGGAGUAGUGUGUGUGUGUGUGUGUGUGUGUGUGUGUGUCCGCCAUUCUAUUCCAUUUGUAUCAUUAUUAUUCCUUUUAUUAUGGUUAUGUAUAUAAGUUAAUGCCAGUUCAUGAAAAUGCCGGUUCAUGUGUAUGCCACUUGUUUAGAUUUUUUUAUUUGUUGUAUAGUUAUUAGUGAAUAAAUGAAUACAUGAAUACCUGAAUGGUCCUUAUCAUUGAUCAUUAGAUUAUUUCCAUUUAUUAAUGUGAAUAUGAAAAGGUAACCUUAUCAUCCACUUGCAUAAUAGUUGUUGGUGCUAUAAACAAAGCACUGUUACAAUCACUUAGAGGGUUAUCAAUAGCCUGGGUUAUCUAUAGCCUACUUAUUGUAAUUGUUUCCAUUAAUUGCUCAAAACCACAGUAUGAAAUGUCAAUUGCAAAAUUGUGCCUUGUGCUGUAAAUAAAGCACUGUUUAUAAUUUAUUUAGAACUUAUCCCAAUCCAGAGAUAUAUGCAUGAGUAUUAUUUUUGAUAAUUGUUAUUAUAUGUGAACAUGAAAAGGUAACCUUAUCAUCCACUUGCACAAUAGUUGUUGGUGCUAUAAACAAAGCACUGUUUGGAGUUACAAUCACUUAGAGGGUUAUCAAUAGCCUGGGUUAUCUAUAGCCUACUUAUUGCAAUUGUUUCCAUUAAUUGUUCAAAUCCACAGUA